rnacentral:rRNA from 1 species
UGGGCGUAAAGGGCUCGUAGGUGGUUGAUCGCGUCGGAAGUGUAAUCUUGGGGCUUAACCCUGAGCGUGCUUUCGAUACGGGUUGACUUGAGGAAGGUAGGGGAGAAUGGAAUUCCUGGUGGAGCGGUGGAAUGCGCAGAUAUCAGGAGGAACACCAGUGGCGAAGGCGGUUCUCUGGGCCUUUCCUGACGCUGAGGAGCGAAAGCGUGGGGAGCGAACAGGCUUAGAUACCCUGGUAGUCCACGCUGUAAACGGUGGGUACUAGGCGUGGGGUCCAUUCCACGGGUUCCGUGCCGUAGCUAACGCUUUAAGUACCCCGCCUGGGGAGUACGGCCGCAAGGCUAAAACUCAAAGGAAUUGACGGGGCCCCGCACAAGCGGCGGAGCAUGCGGAUUAAUUCGAUGCAACGCGUAGAACCUUACCUGGGUUUGACAUGGAUCGGGAGUGCUCAGAGAUGGGUGUGCCUCUUUUGGGGUCGGUUCACAGGUGGUGCAUGGCUGCCGUCAGCUCGUGUCGUGAGAUGUUGGGUUAAGUCCCGCAACGAGCGCAACCCUUGUUCACUGUUGCCAGCACGUUAUGGUGGGGACUCAGUGGAAACCGCCGGGGUCAACUCGAAAGAAGGUGGGGAUGACGUCAAGUUAUCAUGCCCCUUAUAUAUGGUUUCACGG